AGGGAAGCUAAGCUCAGACAGCAGCAGCUGCUGCGGAAUAGUCCACCGGCUGCAGAUUGAUACCGAUGACAAUUGACUAUCAGCCCUGUGACCUGCAACUCUGCAGAUUGUGACACCAUCUCCAUUCUGCAUGGGUGUGAGUGGAGCCUGGGACUGCAGGCCACGCCUCCAGAGAGUAGACUGCCCACCUGGGUGCACCAGAAGUGCUGAGCACUGGACCCUGAAGGCUUCCUCUGUAAGCUGGCACUGAUACCCACCUCCCAGGGGCUGUGAAGGUUAGCUGAACUGUUCCCAGCAUUGCUUCCAACGAGUAGAUCCAGAAUUCUGGAGCUCAUGCUGCUUGCACCACAAAGGCAAAUGAUUAGAGACAAUCAUGAGGCUUUCCAUUAGGCUUUGUUCAGAGAGCUGGCCAUCAGAGAAGGCAGAACAUGAUGGAAAACGCUUCACAUCUCACUUCCAGCCAGAAGAUUGUAUGGAGUCACAGGGACAGAGACAGCCAUUCCAAAGUUCAGGAUUGCCCCACUCUGGUCAGGAGACGUGAUUCUUAAAAUAAACUUUUCCUCCCC
ensembl:lincRNA 1110002O04Rik RIKEN cDNA 1110002O04 gene